AUGACGAUGCCAGCGCUGCGGGUGGGCCUGCCAAGCAGCGUCUCCGCAGUCUCCGCGGGCUCGGCCUUGACACCGAACAACGCCGAUGACCCGGAGGAGUGGGAGGAGGAGCGGGAAGAGGAAGAAGGGGAGCCGACCCUCCUCGGCAUCCAUUGGCCGCUGCUCCGGCGCAGGACUGGGGCGGCGGGGUACGUCAUCGGCGGCUCGUUGCCUCCCUCGAGGUGCUGGAGGACGGCAUGGAGCGUGCGGCCGAGGGCGCCCCACCACAGGCGACGACACUCGCUGUUCUUGGUCCCCUGCACCACCGGUGCCCCCUUGGUGGAGAACAGCCGCUCCGCCUACCGGCGCUGGAAGUACAUCGCCCACGCCUCGUGGUUGCCAGCGGCGUACUGCGGGAGGGCCCGCUGCUCCUCCAUCAGCGAAGCCCGCACGCGGUCGACCUCGUCGGCGAAGUAG
rnacentral:rRNA from 1 species